CCCAAAAAUCUCAAUUUUCAGCUUCUCACUCAUUUUGCACUUAAUUUUAGCCAUCUACGGAGAAAACCACUACUUCUAUGUACUCUGUAAUCUACUGCCAAGAAAUAACAAAGCAAGCAACAAAGCUUAAUGUUUUUCUCUUAGGAAACUUGUAUUCACGAUCGAUCUCCGCCCUAUUGUCUCGUUUUUUUCAAUUUGAAGGUUUAAACUUUUUAAUUGUGUUUAAUUUGUAAAGGUUACAAGGAAAUUAGAUUCAACCACCGGCGAAGUUAAGAAGCUCAGUCGCUACCGCACCAGAACCUGUUGGUCUUGGGUUUCAAAAAUCGGAAGUACUCCUGAGAAGCUUUUCUUUGAACUUUGUGGAAUGGAAUCAAUAGAAGCUGAGAAGCCUCUUAGCAUACAAAAUAUGUGUGGAUCUUUGUUGCAGCGACUACUGGAAUCCUAAUGUAGCAACUAUAGCAACUUAGUUACGAUUCACUAUCCCUAUCAUUGCCGAAAAAUGGGUUUUGUCCUCCAUCGGAGUUAAAUGGAGAAGUUGGAAGCAUUAUUCGAAAACGAGGUAUUGGGCUGACGUACCUAUCGAGCCGUUAAUACAUGACAAGGAUGACAGAGUUUUGGAAGAU